rnacentral:rRNA from 1 species
GGGGAAUCUUGCACAAUGGGGGCAACCCUGAUGCAGCGACGCCGCGUGAGCGAUGAAGCCCCUCGGGGCGUAAAGCUCUUUCGACCGGAACGAUAAUGACGGUACCGGGAGAAGAAGCUGCGGCUAACUACGUGCCAGCAGCCGCGGUAAUACGUAGGCAGCAAGCGUUGUUCGGAGUUACUGGGCGUAAAGAGUGCGUAGGCGGUUUUCUAAGUUCGGUGUGAAAUCUCCCGGCUUAACGGGGAGGGUGCGCCGAAGACUGGGAAGCUGGUAUGUGGGAAAGGCAGGCGGAAUUCCUGGUGUAUCGGUGAAAUGCGUAGAUAUCAGGAGGAACACCGGCGGUGUAGACGGCUUGCUAGACCAUAACUGACGCUGAGGCACGAAAGCGUGGGUAGCAAACA